AAUUUUCUAAUUUGUUUCCUCGAAAGUGAAGCCCUCCCACUUGGUUUAUUGGGUUAAUUAAAUUAGUUAAUAAAUACUCACAAUCACCAAACUUCCUCUAAUUCUACCCUAACUCAUCCUCCUUUGUAAGCUUUUUACAAUCACAAACUAAUGGCUACAGCAACAAUAGCUUCGGUUGCUUGGAAGAAAGUUAUUAUCUUCUUUACUUUGCUUCUUCUUGCUUACAACAUUUCGGCGAGAGAACUUGUUGCUCGCACCACCUGUGAGCCAUCGUUGACGACAGAGAUGAAUGAUGUAAUAGACCGGAGAUUAUUUGUUCGGCAAUUGGAUACCUCUUGGAGAGGAAAUUAUUUUCCUCCUCCUAAACCGCCAAGGUCUUGAUUUGAACAUGAGAUGUUAAUUUUAUUUUUAAUUACCCUUCCUUGAUCUCUGUUUUGGGGACGAGGAUCUACCACAAGUUGUAUGAAUAGUUAUUUUCCCUUGUAAGGAUGUGGCCAUUUAAUGGCGUUGUGUGUGAUUGUGGUGGAGUUUAACUACAGCCACAAAUACUUUUUAAUGUUAAAUUCAGUAGUCGUAAUGUAAUAAACAGUUAACCCAAAGUUUAAUAACAUACUUUUGAUUUAUUGAUCCUUUA